ACUCAAAUGAAUUGACGGGGGCCCGCACAAGCGGCGGAGCAUGUUGCUUAAUUCGAUGCAACGCGAAGAACCUCACCUGGGUUUAACUAUGCAGGAAAAGCCACAGAGAUGUGGUGUCCUUCGGGGUCUGCAAUAGGUGGUGCAUGGCUGUCGUCAGCUCGUGUCGUGAGAUGUUGGGUUAAGUCCCGCAACGAGCGCAACCCUUAUUCUAUGUUGCCAGCGGGUAAUGCCGGGGACUCAUAGGAGACUGCCGGGGUCAACUCGGAGGAAGGUGGGGACGACGUCAAGUCAUCAUGCCCCUUAUGUCCAGGGCUGCAAACAUGCUACAAUGGCCGGUACAAUGGGCUGCGAGACCGCGAGGUUUAGCGAAUCCCUUAAAGCCGGUCUCAGUUCGGAUUGGAGUCUGCAACUCGACUCCAUGAAGCUGGAGUCGCUAGUAAUCCCGGAUCAGCAUUGCCGGGGUGAAUACGUUCCCGGGCCUUGUACACACCGCCCGU
rnacentral:rRNA from 1 species